AUGAACGCUAGCUACAGGCUUAACACAUGCAAGUCGAGGGGCAGCAUGAACUUAGCUUGCUAAGUUUGAUGGCGACCGGCGCACGGGUGAGUAACACGUAUCCAACCUGCCGAUGACUCGGGGAUAGCCUUUCGAAAGAAAGAUUAAUACCCGAUGGCAUAGUUCUUCCGCAUGGUAGAACUAUUAAAGAAUUUCGGUCAUCGAUGGGGAUGCGUUCCAUUAGGUUGUUGGCGGGGUAACGGCCCACCAAGCCUUCGAUGGAUAGGGGUUCUGAGAGGAAGGUCCCCCACAUUGGAACUGAGACACGGUCCAAACUCCUACGGGAGGCAGCAGUGAGGAAUAUUGGUCAAUGGACGAGAGUCUGAACCAGCCAAGUAGCGUGAAGGAUGACUGCCCUAUGGGUUGUAAACUUCUUUUAUACGGGAAUAAAGUGAGGCACGUGUGCCUUUUUGUAUGUACCGUAUGAAUAAGGAUCGGCUAACUCCGUGCCAGCAGCCGCGGUAAUACGGAGGAUCCGAGCGUUAUCCGGAUUUAUUGGGUUUAAAGGGAGCGUAGGCGGACGCUUAAGUCAGUUGUGAAAGUUUGCGGCUCAACCGUAAAAUUGCAGUUGAUACUGGGUGUCUUGAGUACAGUAGAGGCAGGCGGAAUUCGUGGUGUAGCGGUGAAAUGCUUAGAUAUCACGAAGAACUCCGAUUGCGAAGGCAGCUUGCUGGACUGUAACUGACGCUGAUGCUCGAAAGUGUGGGUAUCAAACAGGAUUAGAUACCCUGGUAGUCCACACAGUAAACGAUGAAUACUCGCUGUUUGCGAUAUACAGUAAGCGGCCAAGCGAAAGCGUUAAGUAUUCCACCUGGGGAGUACGCCGGCAACGGUGAAACUCAAAGGAAUUGACGGGGGCCCGCACAAGCAGUGGAGUAUGUGGUUUAAUUCGAAGCAACGCGAAGAACCUUACCAGGUCUUGACAUCCAACUAACGAACUAGAGAUAGAUUAGGUGCCUUUCGGGGAAAGUUGAGACAGGUGGUGCAUGGUUGUCGUCAGCUCGUGUCGUGAGAUGUUGGGUUAAGUCCCGCAACGAGCGCAACCCUUGCUAUUAGUUGCUACGCAAGAGCACUCUAAUAGGACUGCCGGUGACAAAUCGGAGGAAGGUGGGGACGACGUCAAAUCAUCAUGCCCCUUAUGCCCAGGGCUACACACGUACUACAAUGGCUAUAACAAAGAGAAGCGAGACCGCGAGGUGGAGCAAAACUCAAAAAAGUAGUCUCAGUUCGGAUUGUAGACUGAAAUUCGUCUACAUGAAGCUGGAAUUGCUAGUAAUGGCAGGUCAGCAUACUGCCGUGAAUACGUUCCCGGGCCUUGUACACACCGCCCGUCACACCAUGAGAGUUGGGAAUACCCGAAGCCUGUAAGCUAACGCAAGAGGCAGCAGUCGAAGGUAGAAUCAAUGAUUGGGGUG
rnacentral:rRNA from 1 species